AGAGUUUGAUCAUGGCUCAGGAUGAACGCUAGCUACAGGCUUAACACAUGCAAGUCGAGGGGUAAACGACUAUCGAAAGCUUGCUUUUGAUGGGCGUCGACCGGCGCACGGGUGAGUAACGCGUAUCCAACCUGCCCACCGACUUGGGGAUAACCUUGCGAAAGUAAGACUAAUACCCAAUGAUAUCUCUAGAAGACAUCUGAAAGAGAUUAAAAGAUUUAUCGGUGAUGGAUGGGGAUGCGUCUGAUUAGCUUGGUUGGCGGGUAACGGCCCACCAAGGCGACGAUCAGUAGGGGUUCUGAGAGGAAGGUCCCCCACAUUGGAACUGAGACACGGUCCAAACUCCUACGGGAGGCAGCA
rnacentral:rRNA from 1 species